ensembl:lncRNA TEX14BP testis expressed 14B, pseudogene
ACUGCGCAGGCGCUGCGGGAGGCCACUGGUGCUCAAGCACCUCGGAUUCCCGCUCAUACAGCCGGCCGGAUCAUGUGGCAGUCAGGUGGCGACCACUAUCUAGCCCAACGUUGCUGGAGUUGUUGCAGCUCUGCCGGGCCCACAUAUCAGCGUUCGUGCAUGACGGUGAGUUGCCACCCAUGGCAUCUCUGGACCAGUUGCAGGCCAGAUUUGGGAACAGCCCGCCUGGCUCCCUGUCCUCCCUGAGGCUGAUGCAGGCAGACAGCCUCCUGUGGAUGGGUCACAAAAUGACUGUGCAGCAGCCGAAGGCCCCUGGAACCCAGACAGAUGUGCUACUGGCUGACCUUCAGCACUGCAGGUGCAGAUUGCCUGCCCUGGCACGUGGUGGGCAGUCUGGGCCCAGGAGCAUCUCCCACCCUGUGUGGCUGGGGCCUGCUCGUGAGUGGCCUGCUGUCCUCCUGCCCAGCAAGCUGCACCACCCUGGCCUGUUGCUGCUGAUGGCACUGAGUCCCUCUGCAGAUCUGUCGGGGCUGUGCCUUCUCUUUGAGCCUGUGUGGCUGGGCUCCCUGCAGGGGGUGCUGCACCCACCGAGACCAAGUGAGGAGGCACCUGGGACUGUGCUGGGCCUGCCGCCCCGGCCCCCUGCUGCAGCAGGUGCUAAAGGCCCUGCUGUUCCUGCAGGCCCACUGGCGAGCUCACAGUGGCUUCAGCUCUCACACCGUGUAGCUGGUGCAGCCAGGCCUGGCUAAAGUGGGCCACCUGGAGCACAGGCGCCUCCUACGCCAGCGCUGGCUGCGGCCCAGGCAGCAGAAGGGCUACCCCUGGGGAGGCCCAGGCCCAGGGCUUCCCCCGCCCCCUGAACUACACCCAUGGCUGCCACUUCAGCUGAUCUGCGGUGACAUGCCCACCACCACCUCAGACCUCUACAGCUUCUGCAUCCUGAUCCAGGAGGUCUUCACUGAGAAACUGUACAUCAAGUGGCUCACAGAGCCAAGACCACACCCAGGCCUGUGGCCCCUGUGAUGUCCCCAGGCCCCAUCCCAUGCCAGGCCUGAGACUCCUGAGGUCAGAGACCACAGCAGGAUCCCAAGGGGUGCAGCCUGGAACUUGGGCAGCAGCUUGACUCUAGGCAGCAGCUCUGGGCCCAGCCCAGGACCCAGCCCUGGGUCUGGCCACAGCCCCACAGCCAGGGUCAGCCUGCACUGCUGCCUGGAGCCCAGCUCAACAGUACAGAUACCCCCAGAGCCCUGCACAACUGUCCCACUGCUAACCUGUGACCCCCUCCGCCCGCCCUCCAGGAGUCACCAACCCGAAGUUCCCUGGCUGCCUCUCCUUUGACCAGGGAACUUUAGGGUCGCCCAACUGUCCCCUCACUCACCUAUGACCCUUAACCAACCCUGCUUCCCCCAGGGCCCUUCCCUGCACUCCAACUCCAGCCUCUAGGACUCAGCCUCCCUGCUGGGGACCCAGAGCUCUGCGGAACAGUUUGAGGAAGCUCUCAGCCAAGAUUCCAGCCCUGCAGGGGCUGCUGCGGCGCACACACAGGGUUAUUCUGCUGGAGCCCCAGCCCUGCACCCGGUACUGAGCUGACUAGAGGAGGUCUCUUCUCCAGCCUGCAGAAGAUGGACCUGCUGGAGGAGAUCAUAGCAGAGCUACAAAAAGGAUGUCAGCUUGGAGAAAAGCCCAGCCUGAGCCCCACUCCUGACCUAGACUCCCAGGGUGCCCAUGGUUCCCCUCUCUGCAGAUACCACCUCUCAGAGGCUCCCAGGAGUAACUCCUGCCUUGGUGCCUCCCCAAAAGGAAAUAGAAUGAUAAAGUGC